rnacentral:rRNA from 1 species
UACAGAGGUCUCAAGCGUUGUUCGGAUUCAUUGGGCGUAAAGGGUGCGUAGGUGGCGGGGCAAGUCUGGUGUGAAAUCUCGGAGCUCAACUCCGAAACUGCACUGGAUACUGCCUUGCUCGAGUACUGGAGAGGAGAUUGGAAUUUACGGUGUAGCAGUGAAAUGCGUAGAUAUCGUAAGGAAGACCAGUGGCGAAGGCGGGUCUCUGGACAGUUCCUGACGCUGAGGCACGAAAGCUAGGGGAGCGAACGGG